UACGAAGGGUGCAAGCGUUGUUCGGAAUAACUGGGCGUAAAGGGCGCGUAGGCGGGCUAGUAAGUCUUAUGUGAAAUCCCCGGGCUUAACCCGGGACCUGCAUCAGAUACUGCUGGUCUUGAAUGCUUGAGAGGGCGGUGGAAUUCCUAGUGUAGAAGUGAAAAUUCGUAGAUAUUAGGAGGAACACCUGAGGCGAAGGCGCCACCUGGCAAGACAUUGACGCUGAGGCGCGAAAAGCGUGGGGGAGCGAACAGG
rnacentral:rRNA from 1 species